UUUUCAAAAGAAAGAUAAUUAAUUUCAAUUAUAUCUUGAUCCUUUUGAAGCGAAAAAGGGACUACACUAGAGCGACGCGAACCUCCUGAUAAUAUCCAUAAAUGACUUGUUUUUGGUAAGAGAUGCACAUUACUGUAUGUAAAUUCCGGUGCAUGGUAUACAUCGGUACUCCAGUGCAUUUCUCCCUUUAA